rnacentral:lncRNA from 1 species
UCCAUUCCUAGCCAGAACGACAAACUCAACUUCUUCCCAACUUCCGAGGCCCAGACUCAAGAAGCUAGUUCUCCUUCAGCACCUGUUCUUGGGCUGCAGACCCCCAGACCAAUCAUAGAAGGCCUUAAUUUUAAGUGUUUAUUACCAGAAGAUUCAACUUUUAGAUUCUCUGAAGAAAAGUCUUUCCUAGGAAAGGUGAGGGGGCCGGCCUGUGGCCAAGUGGUUAAGUCUGCACGCUCUGCUUCUGUGGCCUGGAGUUCACCGGUUCAGAUGCUGGGUGGGGACCUACACGCUGCUCAUCAAGUGAUGCUGUGGCAGCAUCCCACAUAGAAGAACUAGAAUGACCUGCAACAAGGAUAUACAACUAUGUACUGGGGCUUUAAAGGAAAAAAAAGAGGCAGAUUGGCAACAGAUGUUAGCUCAGGGCCAAUCUUCCUCACCAAAAAAU